CUCGAGCGGCGAACGGGUGAGUAACACGUGAGUAAUCUGCCUCUGGCUUCGGGAUAGCCACCGGAAACGGUGAUUAAUACCGGAUACGACACGCUCUUGCAUGAGAUGUGUGUGGAAAGUUUUUUCGGCCAGGGAUGUGCUCGCGGCCUAUCAGCUUGUUGGUGGGGUAAUGGCCUACCAAGGCUUCGACGGGUAGCCGGCCUGAGAGGGUGACCGGCCACACUGGGACUGAGACACGGCCCAGACUCCUACGGGAGGCAGCAGUGGGGAAUAUUGGACAAUGGGCGGAAGCCUGAUCCAGCAACGCCGCGUGAGGGAUGACGGCCUUCGGGUUGUAAACCUCUUUCAGCACAGACGAAGCGCAAGUGACGGUAUGUGCAGAAGAAGGACCGGCCAACUACGUGCCAGCAGCCGCGGUAAUACGUAGGGUCCGAGCGUUGUCCGGAAUUAUUGGGCGUAAAGGGCUCGUAGGCGGUUUGUCGCGUCGGGAGUGAAAACACCGGGCUUAACUCGGUGCUUGCUUUCGAUACGGGCAGACUAGAGGCAUUCAGGGGAGAACGGAAUUCCUGGUGUAGCGGUGAAAUGCGCAGAUAUCAGGAGGAACACCGGUGGCGAAGGCGGUUCUCUGGGAAUGUCCUGACGCUGAGGAGCGAAAGUGU
rnacentral:rRNA from 1 species